rnacentral:lncRNA from 1 species
AUCCACUUACGCAUGACGUACGUGCCACGCCUCAGUGAUGCCUAGAAGUAGCCAGAGCUAUCAUACAGGGUGGGUGCCCGGUAAUGGGGACUGAUACAUAGGGACCGGACUGCAACUCUUUUUGGGUGCAGUAGUGCAUGGUCCUUGAGCCUCGUAGACAGCACCGUGCUAGAGACUAGAGUCCUCGUUUGGUGCCCACAUGAUCGUGCCUUGCCAAAGAUAUCACUGUUGUUGAAG